AUGAGUAUCCUAUGCUGGAACUGUCGCGGUGCAGGCAAACCCGCGACAGUUCGAGAGCUUCGCGAUAUGGUGAGGCAAUUUGCCCCCUUUAUUGUUGGCAUUGUUGAAACCCAAAUAGAGGGUAGUAGAGUUGAGAAGCUAGUUGAUACUCUAGGUUUUAAUAAAAGUUUUGCUAUUAGUAGUUCUGAUAGAAGUGGUGGUAUUGGUGUUUUUUGGAAUGAUACAAUAAAGCUCGAGAUUAUUGGUUACUCUGAUUACCAUGUCGAUGUUGAGGUCGACUCUUUGAACAAUGUUAAGUCCAGGUUCACUUUCAUUUAUGGAGAAGCUCAGGUCAGCGAGCAAUACAAAACCUGGGAUACUUUGAGAGGCAUGCAUUACGAGUACCAGUCAGCUGCCAUGGGCAGUUCUCGGCGACUUCAAUGA
rnacentral:rRNA from 1 species